rnacentral:rRNA from 1 species
AACGAACGCUGGCGGCAUGCCUAACACAUGCAAGUCGAACGAGAUCUUCGGGUCUAGUGGCGCACGGGAGCGUAACGCGUGGGAAUCUGCCCGUUGGUUCGGAAUAACAGUUGGAAACGACUGCUAAUACCGUAUGAUGACGAAAGUCCAAAGAUUUAUCGCCAGAGGAUGAGCCCGCGUAGGAUUAGCUAGUUGGUGUGGUAAAGGCGCACCAAGGCGACGAUCCUUAGCUGGUCUGAGAGGAUGAUCAGCCACACUGGGACUGAGACACGGCCCAGACUCCUACGGGAGGCAGCAGUGGGGAAUAUUGGACAAUGGGCGAAAGCCUGAUCCAGCAAUGCCGCGUGAGUGAUGAAGGCCUUAGGGUUGUAAAGCUCUUUUACCCGGGAUGAUAAUGACAGUACCGGGAGAAUAAGCUCCGGCUAACUCCGUGCCAGCCGCCGCGGUAA